rnacentral:lncRNA from 1 species
AGAUACGGUGAAAAAGAUGGGCAUGGACCUGUCAUGAAUAAAACCAAGCAACACUACCCUUAAAGUAGUGAUUUCACGCGUUGAAGCCCACUACUCUGGUACCAUAAUGCCGGAAGUUGUGUUCGGAUCACCCGAUAACUUCUACAGUGAAGACUUGAUCUUCAAAAUUGUCCACUUUCGCAUGCGUACCACACACUACUUGGACGCACCGCCUUUGCCCGAUUCAAUGCGAAGCCUCACUAUGCCUAUCUC